AGAUUGAACGCUGGCGGCAUGCCUUACACAUGCAAGUCGAACGGCAGCACGGGAGCAAUCCUGGUGGCGAGUGGCGAACGGGUGAGUAAUAUAUCGGAACGUGCCCAGUCGUGGGGGAUAACGUAGAGAAAUUUACGCUAAUACCGCAUACGAUCCAAGGAUGAAAGCGGGGGACCGUAAGGCCUCGCGCGACUGGAGCGGCUGAUAUCAGAUUAGCUUGUUGGUGAGGUAAAAAGCUCACCAAGGCGACGAUCUGUAGCUGGUUUGAGAGAACGACCAGCCACACUGGGACUGAGACACGGCCCAGACUCCUACGGAGGCAGCAGUGGGAAUUUGGACAAUGGGCGAAAGCCUGAUCCAGCAAUGCCGCGUGCAGGAAGAAGGCCUUCGGUGUAAACUGCUUUUGUACGAGCGAAAAGGUCUAGCCCUAAUACGGACGGACCCGAUCGAACGUACCGUAAGAACGUAAAGCACCGGACUAACGUAACGUCGACCAGACACGCCGUAA
rnacentral:rRNA from 1 species